GGGCGUGUGGUCUAGCUCGGUCAUGACGUCGCCUUCACACGGCGAAGAUCCCCAGUUCAAAUCUGGGCACGCCCA
rnacentral:tRNA from 3 species